rnacentral:misc_RNA from 1 species
CUCCAAACGAAAUGCCAAACAGGCACUAAAUGUGUUCCGAUUUGUUUUUGAUAACCACACAGGCUAUGGUGUAGGUUCAUGUCUCAACAUGAUAAGCCAACUCGAAUUGCCAACCCUACACCAUCCUCUAAGAAGAAGAAGGACAAGAACAAGAAACAGAAGAAAAGAAGGAGAAGAAACGGAGUAGAAUUGAUCUCAAAAGUGUUAUUGACCGUAUGAGUAGAAACAAACUUCAUAGGACCAAUGUAUUAUUCGUUCUCAAUAAUGUGAAAAGAAAAUGUUUUGAUAUCAGCAUUCAAGACUAAUACUACUGGGAUUGGCUUGCCAGAAGGCAAAACUCUGGCAAGUAGAAACCCAAGCAACACUACUUCCAGCUCCAACUCUACUCAGAGGAGGCAUUUAUAGAAGUGAGAGCUCUCCAGCAGGAAUUGAUCUCUUGACUAGUUUAGCCCAAGAUUCGUUUGUUUCAGUGAUGACCUUCAGAGCAUAAUCCUUGCUUGCUGCCUUAUUGCCAAGACCAAACUUGUUAGCAGGCUUACCAUCUGGGAUCUUGUAGUCUCUAAACCAGUCUCUGAUUGCAGUGAGAGUUCCCUUGCGAAAGCAACAGCAGAUUAGUUCUCAUAAUUCUACUCUUUGGUAAAUAAUUGAUUAGUUUGUUCAUGAUAUUGCCAUCAGUACAUCAAUUUCAAAUUUCAGCAAGUGUCCUUGGUCUAUCAAGGACAAUAUUUGUCUGUUAAUUCAAAGCCAAAUGCACAGAUUCUAACUUAAAAGUAAUCUUAGCACAUAUUGGCCUGGGCAUAAUUCAUACCAUAGUCACCUAAAACAAUCUCAUCAAAAUUGGAUGUUAUUCUAUAACUACCACUGUCAACAAAAUUCAACAUUUCCAACUACAUAUUUCAGCUACCCUUACAUAUUUGUCCACUUCUUUAUCAUGAAUUACUACCUUUAUGCUAACAACCGCUUAUUAUAUCAGUUAUGCUGAUAAAGAAAAGCUUGACAUAGACCCUCUUUUCUGUAAACACAGUUCAGCCGUUUGAUCCUGAAAUAUUUUUCAAACCAUAGCUUCUGGGAAGCCAUAUGGUCCGCUACUAAACAGGUACCCUUUUCUUUCUGGUCAUUUUGGUAGCAUAUACCCUUUUCUUUCUGGUCAUUUU